rnacentral:lncRNA from 1 species
CAAACCCGUCGCGAUAGCGACGCGACUCCGCCACAAACCUAAGGAGAGGAAAUCUCGCGAUGAGGGAUUCUAGCGUCUCCAGCGUAAGCAACGCAGCUCAGAGCCAGGGCCCGCACGCCGUGUGGGGUCCCGCGACCUUUGCUCACCGCAGAAGCCCCGCCCACAAAGCUGGUCCCGCCCUGGCCGCCGCGAGUACCGUUACCGCCCCCGCUGCCCCGGCUACUAACUUUACAAGCCCUACGUGUACCCCACGCGUAACUUGUUUCUCGGCUUCUCUGAUUGGCCUGCAUUCCUUGCUCAGACCCAGCAUCCUUUCACCUGAGAGUUCACUCCGCGUCCCUAGUCAAAGGCGAGAACUCUGGGAAUGGAGCUGA